CGAGAGCGACUUAAACCCGCGCCCCUGCUUCGGGUCUGGAGAGACAAUCCUGGACCGGCGCAACUGGCUGCUCCCUCCCUUUCUCGCCCUCCCCACCCUUUCUCGGUUAUCCGCGCGGCCGCUGGCACCUCUGGGAGCCGCACAGGCAAGCACUCUGCCAACUGAGACAGAGGGAAGAAAAGGAGACAGGAAGAGACUAUUGAUCCGAAAGUGGUGGAAGAGAGAAUGCGCGGAGCCCGGGAGUGGUGCUGGAGCUGGGCAGAUAGAAGGGGUGGGACUGAAGCCCUCCAGCUCGGGGGGAGGGGCGUUAUUUGUGUGCCCCGCGUCUUGAGCAGUCUGGGUUAUGCCUGGGAGAUGUUGAGCUGAAAGGGGGUGCGGUAACACCCAAGGAUUGUCCUCCACCCGCUCCGCGCGGUGACUGGGUACUGACAUAUGCCCCGCCCGGGAGCGCACAGUCCCAGGUUUGCAGAAUGAAAGUCAAUAAAAUCAAUACAGUGGCAAAGAACACGAAACAUGUUGGGUUGUUGUUAUUAUUAUUACUUGUGUUUAUUAAACUCUUUUUUUUUAACUUCCUUCUUAGAAAAUGUGGCUUCAGCUUUGAUCCUGGCCUCAAAUUAUCUUCUGGUUACCCCGCAGGAGACUAAGAAGCUUGCUCUCAGUCCCAAUCCAAUCCGAGCAGACUUCCCCAGGAGGCCUAGAGGGAGUGAAGCCCCAGGGUGUUCUCAGCUUCCCAUCAUCUGCCCUUUAGGGAGAUUGACCCCCUCCAUUUAUAGGUUCCUGGUUUACCACUCCCAUGCCCCCCCCCGGGGGCGUCUCCUCCCAGCCCCCCUCGUGCGCUCUCCGGGUCGCUUUAAAUAAUGAUAUUUGCAUGCAAGGAACGAUUCAUAAAUAUGUCAGUGCCGGUGAAAUAUAGGCAACAUUUCAAACUUUCUAUUUAAAAAACAUGAAUUAUGGCCAUAGAAAAUGUGUUCCCAUUUAAAGGCGAUACGAAGUAUUUGGUGUCUCGUUCCCGGGCCCAUCCAUCAUGCAGACAAUAAAGAGAGUUUUUCGCCCUGACA